CCCAGUGGCGCAGUUAUUAGCGCUAUAUCCUUGCAGGUAGAAGGUUCUGGGUUCGAAUCCUGGCUUGGGGU